rnacentral:rRNA from 1 species
AGUGAACGCUGGCGGUAGGCCUAACACAUGCAAGUCGAACGGCAGCACAGUAAGAGCUUGCUCUUACGGGUGGCGAGUGGCGGACGGGUGAGGAAUACAUCGGAAUCUACUUUUUCGUGGGGGGUAACGUAGGGAAACUUACGCUAAUACCGCAUACGACCUACGGGUGAAAGCAGGGGAUCUUCGGGCCUUGCGCGAUUGAAUGAGCCGAUGUCGGAUUAGCUAGUUGGCGGGGUAAAGGCCCACCAAGGCGACGAUCCGUAGCUGGUCUGAGAGGAUGAUCAGCCACACUGGAACUGAGACACGGUCCAGACUCCUACGGGAGGCAGCAGUGGGGAAUAUUGGACAAUGGGCGCAAGCCUGAUCCAGCCAUACCGCGUGGGUGAAGAAGGCCUUCGGGUUGUAAAGCCCUUUUGUUGGGAAAGAAAAGCAGCAGGUUAAUACCCCGCUGUUCUGACGGUACCCAAAGAAUAAGCACCGGCUAACUUCGUG